UCAGACAUGGUGUAGUGGUAACACGGCCUCUCUAUAUACAUAUCGUCUUCUGAAGCAGUCCUGGGUUCGAGUCCCGGUGUCUGAA